rnacentral:lncRNA from 1 species
UUAAAAAAGAAAAAAGAAAAGGAAGAAAAGAAAAACUAAGACAGGAAGAGGCAUUGUAGAUUGUUUGUACAGUUUUUUUUUUUCCCUUUUUUCCAUGUGAUAAACAGUUUGUUUUUUCAAUUCAAUUUGCAAUAGAGGUCAUCAUCGACACUGUUAUUUCUCUUGUUUACACACGCUCUCUCCUUCUUCAUUUCCAGAUCCAAACGGACGAAUCAGCAACUGAUCCAUUACCAGAUCGUUCAAUUGCUUCUUCCCCGGAUCUCCAAAUUCUCAGCUUCAGCUCUCAUUUGUGGAGCUGACCACUAAUCAAACUUGUAAACAGUUAAAAGAAGACAGCACUCCUGGAUCUGAUCGAGCUUUCCCGUAGUUUCAAAACGGAACCAAUCAUGAAUCCCUUCUCCUCCGGCACGCGUCUCAGGUUAGUACAAUCCAAGUUCGUCAAUUUUCUGCUAUGUUUUUGUCAUUGUGCUUUAAUUGCAUAGCUUUGUCGAAAUCACUAACGGCAUUUCUGUCGUAUUGUCGAUAAUGGUUUGGUCCGCAUCCUUGGGUUAAUGUGAUUAAUGUCUCAUUUAUUUAAGGGCUAUAUUCAAGUAAUGUGUUUACUUGGUUGCAAGGGAUUUAAGCUUUCCUAAUUAUAUUAUCACUUUUGGAAGUGAAUGUAAACCUUUGUUUAUUUGUUGAAUUUCUUCUCUAUUAAAUUGCCCAUGGGGUUUCUUGGUUUAGUGCUGUGCCGAAAUGCAGAAUUAUCUCAAAAAUGGUUGGGGUUUCUUGGUUUAGUGCUGUGCCGAAAUGCAGAAUCAUCUCAAAAAUGGUUGGGGUUGCAUAGUUUAAGCUAUGGAACUGUGUUGGUUCAUGAAUUCAGUUAUGUGGAAGAGGGGACGGUUGGAACUAUGAUCGAGCAGAAUGAAAAUACUCGUGGUUAUUACCAUAGUAUUGUGCAAGUGUAAUGUGAUAGGGUCCCUUGAAUGCAGUAUUUUAGUGAUUAGUACCAUUAGUUGCCCUUAAUUCUUCUGAUUGGAUAGUUGGAAUCUUAGUUUUAUGUCUUUUACCACCCCAAAGAUUAACCCUUAAAACUAA